CGGGGCGUAGCGUAGGCUGGCUAGCGCGCGUGGUUCGGGUCCACGAGGUCGUGAGUUCAAAUCUCACCGCCCCGA
rnacentral:tRNA from 1 species